rnacentral:lncRNA from 1 species
CAAGAAUGGCCAAAAAAAAUUUCGGGUUGCGGUGAUUUUACCGGGUCGGUCGGGUGAGGGGGAAACAAACAAUAUUUUAUUUUUGGCCUCAACCAAAUAUUAUGAACCUUAUACCAUGUAUACACAAUGCUUAUUUCCACAAAACAUACAUCAAGCAUUGUCAAGUUUGAAUUUUAGUGCCGUUACUUACAUGUACAUGUAUACCAG